GGAAACAAAUGAUUGAGAUCUGGAACACAUUCGAAUGGAAAGCGAAGUCUAAAAGAAACAAAAAAUCAGAACUAAAUCAAAAGGGGGCAAACAUACCCUCGGGUCACAAACCUAUGUGACUGCCAAAAGAAAAGUGGCUGAGAUAAUUGGGCGUGAACCGUCACACUCAGAGAUGUGGAAA